rnacentral:rRNA from 1 species
UUGAACGCUGGCGGCAUGCUUUACACAUGCAAGUCGAACGGCAGCGCGGGCUUCUGCCUGGCGUCGAGUGGCGAACGGGUGAGUAAUACAUCGGAACGUGCCCAGUAGUGGGGGAUAGCUCGGCGAAAGCCGGAUUAAUACCGCCUACGACCUGAGGGUGAAAGCGGGGGAUCUUCGGACCUCGCGCUAUUGGAGCGGCCGAUGGCAGAUUAGUUAGUUGGUGGGGUAAAGGCCUACCAAGGCGACGAUCUGAAGGUGGUCUGAGAGGACGACCAGCCACACUGGGACUGAGACACGGCCCAGACUCCUACGGGAGGCAGCAGUGGGGAAUUUUGGACAAUGGGCGAAAGCCUGAUCCAGCAAUGCCGCGUGUGUGAUGAAGGCCUUCGGGUUGUAAAGCACUUUUGGCGGGAACGAAAAGGACUGUGCCAAUACCACGGUUCGAUGACGGUACCCGCAGAAUAAGCACCGGCUAACUACGUG